rnacentral:tRNA from 1 species
GCCUGGGUGGCUCAGUUGGUUGAGCGCCUGACUUCAGCUCAGGCCAUGAACUCACAGUUUGUGAGUUUGAGCCCCAUGUCGGGCU